rnacentral:lncRNA from 1 species
UAGGGAAAAAACAGGAUGGUUUUCAAAGGAGAGCUUGAGCAAUGCGAUCAAGUCUGUGAUGGAUAAAGACAGUGACCUCGGGAAGCUAGUGAGGAGUAACCACACCAAGUUGAAGGAGAUUUUGGUUAGUCCGGGAUUAUUGACCGGUUACGUGGAUAACUUUGUAGAGGCAUUGCAAGAGGAUUUGAUCUGAUUAUGUUGAAGAUGUUGAUGAUAAUAAUUUUCAAAGUAUAAUUGAAAGGGGAAAUAAUAUAUUUGAUAUUAUAAUAAAAUAAUGAGUGAUUAAGAGAGAGUUGAACAAAGUUAUGGUUAAGAGAGUGUUGAUUAAAUUAGUGGUUAAGAUUGUAAAAUAGCUUAGGAAAUAUUUUUGUAACUUUGGGUCAUCUAAUUUGAAAAGAAAGGAGGAUAAAUAGAAGAACAAUGACAAAGAUUAUUAAUAUGUAGUUUGAAAAACUAUUGUAUUCUUUGUCAAUUGAAUAUGUUAAUCUAUUUUCUAAUAGCAAAUCUUGUAAAUAAAUUUAAAAGAAAGUUUUUUUUUUUUGAUUUUUUUUUUUUUAAAAUGCUAUGCAUUUGAAAAAUCUCGUUCUACAGUUCGAAACCAUCUUUCAGGGCUAAGAUCUCAGACUUGUAAGCUAGAGAAAAGGGCGAGAAAGAAUGAAAUCUUUUUUUUUUUUUUUUUUAAACAACACAUAGCUUCAUUAAUAAGACCAAGAAACCUUGGAACUGAACCAAAUACAACAGUGCCUCCUAUAGAGAGUAACACCUAACACAAAGAAAAAACAGAGCACAUUAAUGUUCAAAUAGAGCUAGCCAAGAUCCGAGGACAGAUAGACCAUUUGGUCUCACACGCUGAGCUCUCGCAACCGGAUCCAAAUGACAGCGGAAGAUGCUUUUAAUCUCACCAAUCAAAGCAGUCCGAGGCCUCGAAACAGAUACAUGUAGUCUCGAAUUUCUUUCUUUCCAAAGGCUGUAAACUGAGGCAUGAAAGAAUGACAUCUUGCAUUCGAGAGCGAGAAUGUUCUAACAUAAAUUCUAUUUAAUGUGUGUGGUCUGCGAUUAUUGUGAUACAAUGCAUACAUAAAUUUAUAUUUAUUAUUUUCUUUAAUAAUAUAAAAAGUAAUAUUUUGAAUCAUUAGAAAGAAAUCAUUAAAACCAAAAUCCACUAUGGCGGGAUUAAACGAAACAAUCCUCUAAAACUAGGCUUAAAAUAAUUUUGAUCUAAAUAGACUUAAAAGGUUCAUUGUACUAAAUAAGCGGGCCUAAAUGGACAGAGUCUGCCCAUUUUAACUUCUUAAGACUCAGAAGUGGUUAGUGAUUUUUUAUACCAGAGUGGUUCUAUCUUGGGGCAGUUUUGUUGUCACUAUAUUUGCAGAUUCAAUCGCUGCGACCUUAACAUGUGGAAGAACUUACUAAAAGGUAUGCUUUUUUUUCAAGCAAAACAUGUGGUAGUUAUGCUGAACUUGUUUAAAAUUUUAAGACUAAAAUUUGCGGUACUUUUGGUAUCUUGUUGCAGAAACUUUGCAGAUGCUAAUUAGUUCUCAUUCCUGUUCACAAUAGCGAAUAUGAAGUAAACUGGAAACUUUGACUCAAACAAAAGAAAAAAGAAAAUACACUAGAAGUUGUUAAGCAUUCUUAGAAACGUUUUGAUUCGGUUUAUUUACUACACGAGUUUGAACUCUCUCUCUCUCGCCUCGCGCGCUCUCUAUCUCUCUCAAUGAUAAGUUGUUCCGACAAAUCCCAUGCAUCUUCUCGGAGUGUAUAAACUGUCGGUCCAAGACCCCCUGCUAGAUCAACGCCUAAUGUAACUUCUACGAGCUGUUAGAAUAAACCAAUCGAAAGUACGUUUAUCAAUACAACUGAAAGCUCAACAACCUAUGAGAGAUUGUGUGUGAACUUACUUGGUCACAGACUUUUUCGACCCAUUUCAUACGGGUGUCCCAAGGGAUGGCAUGAGCAUCUUCGCUACGUAAUUUAUGCAUCAAAUCUGUCACAUCCCUACGAAGGGCUUUAAUAUCGUCAGGAUUACCUGGUUUCCUGGGGAAUAUACCACUUCCCAUUCCAAAAAUAAACAAAUACUUAUUAUAUAAUCACAUUUAAAUUCCCUUUUUCUUUCAGCGAACAAACAAAGACCAAUAGAGGUAUCCAUAUGCCAACAAAAGGUACCGUUCGCUUCUUACUUUUUUAGACCAGUGAUAACAGAGCCCAAAGUUCCGAGCCUCUCCUUCGUUUUGCACACUAAUGAUGAGAAAUCAUUCUUCACUUGUGAAAAUAUAAAAUCAAACAUUCAUCAAUAUUCUUAUCGCAAUGUGUGUUUAAAAUCAUACUAGCAAAUGUAAUUCUACUUACCGACAACUUCUCAAGUGUAAAUUCUGAUUCAAGAUCAGAAGCUUUAUUCUGAUCCCCCAAAAACUGAGCAGAGGAUAUGGACUUGGCGUUUGGAAACUUCUUUCUUGCUUCAUACGAUUCCUCAACCUACCUAGUAAUCAAUUAGAUAGAAGAUACAUUUUAAUCUAAGACAGAACAAAAGAAAAACAACACGAGAAUUACCUUAGUAUUAAGCUUCCGUACACCAAGACCACCGAUUGAUCCUGUCCUUUUUUCACAUAUAGGUUUCAUAAACGCUAGAUCCGUAGGAAUAGUGAUAUCGCCGGAAUUUUCCCCGGGGGAGAUUUCACUGCAGCGAAGACGUCGUGUUGGCGAUGGUUUGGUCUCGUGGUUGUUAUUUUCGCUUCCUCUCUUCAUCACGUCUGUUUUGUUAACCCUAGGGGCAUAUUCAUUUUUCCUAAUAUUUAGUAAAAAAAUAGAAUUAUAGAAUUAAGGAAUAGCUGGUAAAUUUUAUAUAAUUAUACCGUAGAUUAGGGAAUAAUUUCCGGAUGGUAAAUAAUAACUUAGAUGGACAUUUUUGAUCAAUAACAUGCUUUUUCUAAUUUUCCCUUAAUAAAAAACUAACGAUUAGGAAUGUUCGUAACAGACUUGAAUCAUUCAAUUCUUACCCCUACUCUCCUAAAUUUCAGGUAUGUUAAGGGUGUCAAGUUGGUUAAACCAAACCAAACCAAUCCAUAUCGAUAUAAAUUUAGUGACUAAUGAAUAAUGAAUCAAUCCAAUUCAUUUAGCAUUCAUUUAGCAAAUGGUUUGGAUGAAACCAUAACUUAUUUGAAUUGGAUUGACUCAUUAUAAGUCAAUCAUUUGAAUUGAAUUGGACUAAAUGAGUUUAUCCAUUUAAUAAUAUUUUAUAAUCUAAAUAAUUAUCAUAAUUAAUAAUUAAUAACUACCAUACUACAAUCAUCAUCAUCAUACUACCAUCAUCAUUCAUGAUCAUCAUCAUCAUCAUCAUACUACUACUACCAUUAUCAUCAUCAUCAUCAUCAUCAUCAUACCACCAUCAUCAUCUCAUAAUCAUCAUCAUCAUCAUCAUCGCACAGUUCAAUACAAGAUUCUAGAAUCAAUGGUUUUUAUACCAGAUAAAUCUUACUUUAUGGAUAAGUAUGUGGGUACCAACCAAUAAAUAUAUGGAAAAAAAAAGACAACAAAGUUUGAGUCAAAAGAAACACAACAUCAUAGAGUUUGGAGAGUGGAAAUGAUACAUCAUCCUUCCUCUCUGUUAUACACUACAAAUCUAGCCAGUCGAAGAUUACGAAAUCUGAACAUCACACACACUUUUUUUUUUUUUUUUUUUUUUUUUUUUUUUUUUUUUUUUUUUUUUUUUUUUUUUUUUUUUAUAUAUAUAUAUUAUUAAAUCUCAAAAUUGGGUUUUGGCUGAUGGGCCAAGAGAAAUAAACGGGUUACAAAAAAGGAACGGCCCAAAUCGGAAAAACACAGCGAAGUAAGAUCUGAAGAAGGCAGUACACCGGAAAACACGAUCCUCGCCUUCCAUAUCCGAUGCUAACAAGAACGGUUCCUUUGCGGACAAGUCCUCGACAUCGAGACAUUGACCGGAGCUAGCAAAUCCCGUCGCAACCUGUCGCCGAGAACAAACCGAACCUAGAACUUUCCUUUCGGGAAAGGUAGAACCGCCACAACCGAGACCCAGGACCUCUUCUCCCCGACCUAGUAAGAAGAGAGACAUCACACACACUUGCUAUGAACAAAGAAGAAUUAAAGCAAAGGGCACACGAGAUAACCUUAAAGGAAAAUAAUGCGUAAGUCAGUCAUGAAAAUGUAAACAAACAUAGUCAUUUUACCUAUAAAAUAACCAGUAUAGUAGCCUAAGAUAUCAAAGUUAUUAGAGUAAUCAAAUAUGUACCGGUUUAGCAUUGGUUUAUAUUGGUUUAGUCAUUGUAAAAUCAGUUGUAUCGGCUAUAUAAGAGCCUCUCAUGUAACAAGAUUGGAUUAAGAAGAUUAACACAAAUUCACGAUUUUUCUUCUUCUUCGUUUAUCACUUCUAACAAAAGUUACGAUUAAAUUUGCUUCUACAUUCAGUCCCUCUUUCUACACGAUAGUCUAAAUAAAACCAAGCAGGAGAAAGUGAUCGAUACUUACUGCAAUUAUAUACUCUUAGUACUGUCAAAUGGGCUGUCCAACGCCCAAUGGUCUUGUCCAUUUGGUCCGUUUUUUUUUUGUGGGCUGUAAUGGUCGGUUCUUUAUGGACAAUGGUCCAAAACCUCGCCCAAACCCAAUAAGGACCAUGUCCAAUGGGCAUGCCCAUGGUCGCCCAUCUUUUAUUGUGUUGACAAAAGUCUUAUAUAUGGUCAAUACUCAAGUUUUUUUAAUUGUAUUAACUUAUGUUUAAUCUGAUUGUUUUAAUUUACGGUUUAUACAACACAAAAUAAUACAACUAGUAUCAAAAUAAUACAGCUAUUGUGUCAUCAAAUUUGGAGGUUCUGGCUUAGAGUAGCAAAAACUGAUAAAAGGGUAAUCUAGUCUUGAUUAGUAAAGUUAGAAUAAGACCAAAAUCUUCACCAGUAUUAACUCACAUGCAGCAAUUGAAUAUGUUUACCAGUAAACUUAAUGUAGCUCUAGCUUUGAUAUAACUUAAUGUAGCUCUAGCUUUGAUAAAAACUUAAUGUAGCUCUAGCUUUGAUGUAACUUAAUGUUCUGCUAACACAAAUGCACGAUUAAGAGACUUGAAUCCCAGCAAACCCACAUCGUCAAAUCCGAGCAAAUGAAUAAACCAAGACAAAUGAAUAAGCUCAUGAAUCUAAAAGCUUUGAGGAGAAGAAUGAAGAACCAGUAGAAGAAACACAAAACUUAGAGAGAGAAACAAAGAGAAAAAACCCAUCAAAUCAUUACCUGCAAGACAAAGAGACUACCCUUUUGCGAAAAAGACUUGCUUCGGAAAGGAAGUGGUAGAGAUCGAGGAGCUAUGAAGCAGAUAUAUAAAGAGAUGGAGAUUAAUAUGAAGCAAUUCGAGAUGGAGCAGAGAGAUGAAGAGAUGGAGAGGUGAAUUCGAUGAAGAGAAGAAGUCGAUAGAGAGCGGAGAUGUGAAAUGAGAAGAGAGUUAGGGAUUUGGAAAAUUUUCCCCAAAUCUUAAAACCCUUGAUUUUUACAAAUUUGGGCAAGCCCAAUGUCCAUUUGGUCGCGCCCAUUAUGUCCGCGGACAAAACAAGUCGUAAGCCCAAUUAGACCGUUUCGUUUUUGGUCUGGACCAUAGCCCGCCCGCGUGCAUUUGGACUGGGCAAGCCCGCGGGCGGCCCGCCCAAUUGACACCUCUAUAUACUCUCUCGUUUGUUGCACAAAUGAAACAAUAGCAAUGUAUUAAGGGAAGAGGUCCUUUCCAAUACUUCUUUCGAAUAAAAUUACUGAAAGAAUCUGCAAAUACAAUUACCAGAGCCGGUCCUGGGCUAAAGACCAUGAUGCAAGGGUUUUAGGCGCCAAAAAUAUCCUAUAUAUAUUAGGGACAUCAUUUUAGUCUGGUAGUUGUUUCAUGGUCUAGUGGUAAAUAUAUUUUUCCCUUUUAUUAGUCUAACUAGAAUCGAAGAACAAGUCACACAAAAAUUAAACAAAUUCUCUAACAAGCCUCUUAAUUUAUGAUGCAUCUCCUAGUUGUAAUUAACUUGCUGAUGGGAACGUAGGUGAUGAACUCUCUAUUUUAUGAGCUUAAGUUUCUUUCGUAAAUGUCUUGAACGUAUACACAAGACUAUAGUCACAAAUUUGGAAGAAAAAUAUAAAAUCAUUUGCUUAUGAAUUCUUAACUCACAUGACUUAAUUGCUCUCAAGUGAACUUGAUAUUUGCAAAGAUGAACACAAUCAUGUAGUGUAUUUGCAAUAACAAUAGAACAUAGAAGUCUACUAGCUACCAAUACUCACAUUUAUAAAUAUUGAUAAAAAUUAUUCAAACAUAGACUCAACUCAAUUUUACCCGCAUAAUCCUACACUAGGAAACGAAAACAAACCUUAAGAAUAACCAGAGUCGCGGUGGAGCCGGAGAUUUGAUCAGCAAGAGAGAAGAACGAGGCCUUUAAGUAUCGAAGCUUCCGAAAACCCUUUAAUGGCGAAGAUAGAUAGGUCGAUGGUGAGAGAGAUUGAUGGUGGUGAGAGAUCGAUGAAUGUGAGAGCUGUGAGGCUGUGAAAGAGAGACCCUAGAUCGAUGAUGGUUAGAGAGUUACGAGAAAUUCAGGUCUUGUUUUCGGUUUAUCAAAUCGGUUUAAACAUUUAAUUCGGUUAAUUACACAUUUGAUUUGAAAUGUUUAAUUUCUAUUGGUUUGGUUAUGAGUAACCACUAAUCUAUUCUAAUCAAAAUCAUUUCAAUCCAAUUCAUUAAACUCAUUAAUCAAUUAAUCCAUUAAGAUCCAAAUUUUUCAUCCAUUAAUAGAUCCAUUAUGUUGAUUGGAUUGGUUUGGAUUGAUCCAUCAAUUUUAAUCUAUUUUGACACCCCUAGGUAUGUACAACUGAAUUCUCUCAUAAACAGAAAGAUAAGAAUCCUAAGAACAAGAUUAGAAGAUAGAACAGAGGAAUUCAUAAACAGAAAUGGUUCCGUUUCGGUCACAUGACUGCAUUUUAAGAAACUAUGUGACAAAAUUACUUUCUUGCUCCCCAAGAAAGCUCUAAGCAACUUUAAUCCUCCAUCUCUUGCCGGACUGCCUUUCUUUCAUGCUCUAAUCAUAUCCCAUAUGGAUGGCCUCCUUGCAUCGGCUAUAUGGAUCGGACACACAAUCAGGGAGAAGAAGCGGUUUCUAUAGGUUAACCGAAUCUGAUUUUCCUUUAAUUAUGCGCACUGGAUUCCGGAUAUAGUUAGAGAGUAUGGAGCCAAGAGUGUGAAUUUCCGUAGCAUGUGUAGCUAUCUCGUUUAGUGAGAGGAUCAAUUCCAAGGAACUCUGUUUUGGGAUGGAGCUGACAAGAACUCUCGGUUUCUUUUAGCAGUAAAGCUACCGAAAGGAUCAUUAACAGUCCAAGAAGGGUUCGAGGAGCGGGUGAAAGGCCGUGGUGUGGUAUGGGGAGGAUGGGUACAUCAACCUUUGAUAUUGGCUCAUCCAUCAAUAGGCUGCUUUGUGAACCAUUGUGGUCCCGGAAAAAUAUGGGAGGCUUUGGUGAGUGAUUGCCAAAUGGUUUUGAUUCCAUUUUUAAGUGAUCAACUACUCUCCACAAAAUUGAUGACCGAGGAAUCCGAGGUCUCUGUAGAAGUGUAUAGGGAAAAAACAGGAUGGUUUUCAAAGGAGAGCUUGAGAUAUGCGAUCAAGUCUGUGAUGUAUAAAGAGAGUGGCCUCGGGAAGCUAGUGAGGAGUAACCACACCAAGUUGAAGGAGAUUUUAGUUAGUCCUGGAUUAUUGACCGGUUACGUGGAUAACUUUGUUGAGGCAUUGCAAGAGGAUUUGAUCUGAUUAUGUUGAAGAUUGUUGAUGAUAAUAAUUU